GACGAACGCUUGCGGCGUGCUUAACACAUGCAAGUCGAACGGAAAGGCCCUGCUUUUGUGGGGUGCUCGAGUGGCGAACGGGUGAGUAACACGUGAGUAACCUGCCCUUGACUUUGGGAUAACUUCAGGAAACUGGGGCUAAUACCGGAUAGGAGCUCCUGCUGCAUGGUGGGGGUUGGAAAGUUUCGGCGGUUGGGGAUGGACUCGCGGCUUAUCAGCUUGUUGGUGGGGUAGUGGCUUACCAAGGCUUUGACGGGUAGCCGGCCUGAGAGGGUGACCGGCCACAUUAGGACUGAGAUACGGCCCAGACUCCUACGGGAGGCAGCAGUGGGGAAUAUUGCACAAUGGGCGGAAGCCUGAUGCAGCAACGCCGCGUGCGGGAUGACGGCCUUCGGGUUGUAAACCGCUUUCGCCUGUGACGAAGCGUGAGUGACGGUAAUGGGUAAAGAAGCACCGGCUAACUACGUGCCAGCAGCCGCGGUGAUACGUAGGGUGCGAGCGUUGUCCGGAUUUAUUGGGCGUAAAGGGCUCGUAGGUGGUUGAUCGCGUCGGAAGUGUAAUCUUGGGGCUUAACCCUGAGCGUGCUUUCGAUACGGGUUGACUUGAGGAAGGUAGGGGAGAAUGGAAUUCCUGGUGGAGCGGUGGAAUGCGCAGAUAUCAGGAGGAACACCAGUGGCGAAGGCGGUUCUCUGGGCCUUUCCUGACGCUGAGGAGCGAAAGCGUGGGGAGCGAACAGGCUUAGAUACCCUGGUAGUCCACGCUGUAAACGGUGGGUACUAGGUGUGGGGUCCAUUCCACGGGUUCCGUGCCGUAGCUAACGCUUUAAGUACCCCGCCUGGGGAGUACGGCCGCAAGGCUAAGACUCAAAGGAAUUGACGGGGCCCCGCACAAGCGGCGGAGCAUGCGGAUUAAUUCGAUGCAACGCGUAGAACCUUACCUGGGUUUGACAUGGAUCGGGAGCGCUCAGAGAUGGGUGUGCCUCUUUUGGGGUCGGUUCACAGGUGGUGCAUGGCUGUCGUCAGCUCGUGUCGUGAGAUGUUGGGUUAAGUCCCGCAACGAGCGCAACCCUUGUUCACUGUUGCCAGCACGUUAUGGUGGGGACUCAGUGGAGACCGCCGGGGUCAACUCGGAGGAAGGUGGGGAUGACGUCAAGUCAUCAUGCCCCUUAUGUCCAGGGCUUCACGCAUGCAACAAUGGCUGGUACAGAGAGUGGCGAGCCUGUGAGGGUGAGCGAAUCUCGGAAAGCCGGUCUCAGUUCGGAUUGGGGUCUGCAACUCGACCUCAUGAAGUCGGAGUCGCUAGUAAUCGCAGAUCAGCAACGCUGCGGUGAAUACGUUCCCGGGGCU
rnacentral:rRNA from 1 species